rnacentral:rRNA from 1 species
AUUGAACGCUGGCGGCAGGCCUAACACAUGCAAGUCGAACGGUAACAGGAAGCAGCUUGCUGCUUUGCUGACGAGUGGCGGACGGGUGAGUAAUGUCUGGGAAACUGCCCGAUGGAGGGGGAUAACUACUGGAAACGGUAGCUAAUACCGCAUAACGUCGCAAGACCAAAGAGGGGGACCUUAGGGCCUCUUGCCAUCGGAUGUGCCCAGAUGGGAUUAGCUAGUAGGUGGGGUAACGGCUCACCUAGGCGACGAUCCCUAGCUGGUCUGAGAGGAUGACCAGCCACACUGGAACUGAGACACGGUCCAGACUCCUACGGGAGGCAGCAGUGGGGAAUAUUGCACAAAGGGCGCAAGCCUGAUGCAGCCAUGCCGCGUGUAUGAAGAAGGCCUUCGGGUUGUAAAGUACUUUCAGCGGGGAGGAAGGGGGUAAAGUUAAUACCUUUGCUCAUUGACGUUACCCGCAGAAGAAGCACCGGCUAACUCCGUG